rnacentral:rRNA from 1 species
UGGGGAAUAUUGCGCAAUGGGCGAAAGCCUGACGCAGCGACGCCGCGUGAGGGAUGAAGGUUUUCGGAUCAUAAACCUCUGUCAGAAGGGAAGAAACCGCACUGUGCUAAUCAGCAGUGCCUUGACGGUACCUUCAAAGGAAGCACCGGCUAACUCCGUGCCAGCAGCCGCGGUAAUACGGAGGGUGCAAGCGUUAAUCGGAAUUACUGGGCGUAAAGCGCACGUAGGCUGCUUUGUAAGUCAGGGGUGAAAUCCCACGGCUCAACCGUGGAACUGCCUUUGAUACUGCUUAGCUUGAAUCCGGGAGAGGGUGGCGGAAUUCCAGGUGUAGGAGUGAAAUCCGUAGAUAUCUGGAGGAACAUCAGUGGCGAAGGCGGCCACCUGGACCGGUAUUGACGCUGAGGUGCGAAAGCGUGGGGAGCAAACAGG